CCUACGGGAGGCAGCAGUGGGGAAUAUUGGACAAUGGGCGAAAGCCUGAUCCAGCAAUGCCGCGUGAGUGAUGAAGGCCUUAGGGUUGUAAAGCUCUUUUACCAGGGAUGAUAAUGACAGUACCUGGAGAAUAAGCUCCGGCUAACUCCGUGCCAGCAGCCGCGGUAAUACGGAGGGAGCUAGCGUUGUUCGGAAUUACUGGGCGUAAAGCGUACGUAGGCGGUUAUUCAAGUCAGAGGUGAAAGCCUGGAGCUCAACUCCAGAACUGCCUUUGAAACUAGAUAGCUAGAAUCUUGGAGAGGUGAGUGGAAUUCCGAGUGUAGAGGUGAAAUUCGUAGAUAUUCGGAAGAACACCAGUGGCGAAGGCGACUCACUGGACAAGUAUUGACGCUGAGGUACGAAAGCGUGGGGAGCAAACAGGAUUAGAUACCCUGGUAGUCCACGCCGUAAACGAUGAUAACUAGCUGUUCGGGCUCUACGAGCUUGAGUGGCGCNGACUACGACAUUAAGUUAUCCGUCCGUCGGGAGGUACGGUCGCGAGAAUUAAACUAACAAUAGAAGUUAGUACGGACGUGAGACGUCGCCGACGGACGACGACGAGGGAGGAGG
rnacentral:rRNA from 1 species